UGCCUUCGGGAACUGUGAGACAGGUGCUGCAUGGCUGUCGUCAGCUCGUGUUGUGAAAUGUUGGGUUAAGUCCCGCAACGAGCGCAACCCUUAUCCUUUGUUGCCAGCGGUUCGGCCGGGAACUCAAAGGAGACUGCCAGUGAUAAACUGGAGGAAGGUGGGGAUGACGUCAAGUCAUCAUGGCCCUUACGACCAGGGCUACACACGUGCUACAAUGGCAUAUACAAAGAGAAGCGACCUCGCGAGAGCAAGCGGACCUCAUAAAGUAUGUCGUAGUCCGGAUUGGAGUCUGCAACUCGACUCCAUGAAGUCGGAAUCGCUAGUAAUCGUAGAUCAGAAUGCUACGGUGAAUACGUUCCCGGGCCUUGUACACACCGCCCGUCACACCAUGGGAGUGGGUUGCAAAAGAAGUAGGUAGCUUAACCUUCGGGAGGGCGCUUACCACUUUGUGAUUCAUGACUGGGGUGAAGUCGUAACAAGGUAACCGUAGGGGAACCUGCGGUUGGAUCACCUCCUUA
rnacentral:rRNA from 1 species